rnacentral:rRNA from 1 species
UACGUAGGGCGCAAGCGUUGUCCGGAUUUAUUGGGCGUAAAGAGCUCGUAGGCGGUCUGUCGCGUCGGCUGUGAAAACCCGAGGCUCAACCUCGGGCCUGCAGUCGAUACGGGCAGACUAGAGUGCGGUAGGGGAGACUGGAAUUCCUGGUGUAGCGGUGAAAUGCGCAGAUAUCAGGAGGAACACCGGUGGCGAAGGCGGGGUCUCUGGGGCCGUAACUGACGCUGAGGAGCGAAAGCGUGGGGAGCGAACAGG